rnacentral:tRNA from 1 species
UGCGGGAUAGUCUAACGGUAGUGACGUCUGCCUCUGGAGCAGAAGAUCUUGGUUCGAAUCCAAGUCCCGCAGCAA